rnacentral:lncRNA from 1 species
GAAUAUUGAAAUUCUCACCUACAAUGUGAUGCUAUCAAAAGGUGAGGUCUUCGGGAGAAGUUUACUUCUUACUGGGUGGAGACACUUGGCAUUUGUAAAUGAGAAUACCAAUUUGAAGGAAGAUAAGAAAAAGAACAAAACCUCCUAGCAUAAACAGAGAUUGCUGGUGAGACAGCAGCCACUGCUCCCAGGCCCGACAACAGGGGCAGCACCAAAGCUGGUCAGUGUUUCCUCCUUACAGGUCUGAAGGUGCUGCAGAGGAGGGUGCUUCCCAGAGAUCACCCCUGUGACAGACAGAUCGAUUGAAGGACCCCUGAAUGGCUGAAUUGAGAAGAACAAGCAUAUUAGGAGGCCAUACAAUGGGAGCCUCUCAGGCAGACAGACAAAGCCGUGGAAACUGCAGACUUAUUUGUAUGUUCUGGUAAACACCUUUGCUUCAUUUUCCCCGUCUCCGCCUGGACUGAGGGUCACCUCACCUCUCCUGGUGUCCAGAGCCUCCUUCAGGACAGAUGUUGCAAACCUGAGUUCUCACAAACAGCGGGGUCCAGCCCUUCUCAACACUGGAAAGCCCUUGAGCCAUCUUUGAUUUGUGUGUUUUGAUCUAAUUGCACUACUGCUUGCAAUGCUUGUUUUUAGCGGUGAGUGCUGGUUUAAUUUGUUUCUUUCUGGUCUCCCAGCCCCACUCCAGAAUUUUGGCUCCUGGAGAGGAGGGGCCCUGAACUGGCAUUUUCAGUGAAGCAUCCCAGUGCCUUGAAUCCAGUAAGCAGCCAGGUGUCUGUUGGCUUCAUGGUUUAACAACCUACCAUUUGAAGAAUCGCAGAGAUGAAUUAAAAAGAGCCCCGGAGAGGCUCCCCGAUCCAGUUGCACUUCCUGCUUAAGCAAAGUAAAGAAAAACAGGAAUGAAAACAUAACCCAAUGGGUUAGUUCCAUGCUGGCCAUUGAUGAGGUUGCAGCCACCAUCAGAAGAAGGCCAAACGGUUAGAAAGACACGGCGGUGAGGAAGAUGAGCCUCAUUAUCGACUGUCACCUGCAGCCCUGCACAGGUGCUCAGAAUCUAACACUUGAUGGCUGGUUGAGAUUCCCGGAGUCCUAAUUAGGAAUGAGGAGUCAGGCUGGCAGGACCCAGGGAAAGCAAAAAGAGAAGGCAGAGAAGCUCCAAGUCUGCCUGUCUUCGUGAUCCAGAACACGUAGUCCUGCUGCACAAGUAACUCACAAUCUUCCUGUGUCCAGCUGUCAUUAGACCCUUGGCUGAUAGAAAAAUGCAAGUUAGCACACUGCAGCCUCGGUGUCGUCAGUACUGCACGUCACUCUCUCCAGCACACCGCGGCCUCGGCGUCAUCAGCACUGCACGUCGCUCUCUCCAGCACACCGCGGCCUCGGCGUCGUCAGCACUGCACGUCGCUCUCUCCAGCACACCGCGGCCUCAGCGUCAUCAGCACUGCACGUCGCUCUCUCCAGCACACCGCGGCCUCGGCGUCGUCAGCACUGCACGUCGCUCUCUCCAGCACACCGCGGCCUCGGUGUUGUCAGUACUGCACGUCGCUCUCUCCAGCACACAGCACAAGCACCAUCCUAUCAAGUCCCCAGCAAGCCUUUGUCUCCUUGCAGUCAGCUCCUCUCUUGCUGGCCUGCCUGUUGCCUCCUUGCUGUGUAUUUUCCUACUUUCUCUAAUUUGCCUUUUUUUUUUAUUUUUGAGAUGAAAUUUUGCCUCAGCCUCCCAAGUAGCUGGGACUACAGGUGCGUUUCACCACGUCCAUCUAAUUUUUGUAUUUUUCGUAGAGACGGGUUUUCACCAUGUUGGCCAGGAUGGCCUUACCUCAAGGACCUCCUGAUCCGCCUGCCUCGGCCUCCCAAAGUGUUGGGAUUACAGGCAUGAGCCACUGCACCUGGCCUAAAUCUGCCUUUCUUAACCUACAAUUGUCUUUACCCUGAGCCGCUGGCCCCAGAUAGUCGCUGCUCACCCAUGACAAUAUUUCACCACUGAGAUCAUUUAUCCUCAAAAAAAUGAGUAGAAUGGCCACGGAAUUGUGUGCAAAGAAUGAAGGAGCAAAACAGUCUUGGAGUCUUAGGAGCAAAACAUCUGCAUUACUAAUAUCCUCCCAAGUCCACCAAGCCUCAGCUAGGAACGGUUCCCCACUUGUGAAGUGUCUGAUAAGUUCUAGUUUCCUUCCUUCCUUUCUUCCUUCCUUCCUUCCUCUCUCUCUUCUUUCUUUCUCUUUCUCUCUUUCUUUUCUUUCUCUUUACCUUUCUUUCUUUCCUUUCUUUCUAUCUUUCUUCUCUCAAUCUUUCUUUCUCUCUCUCUCUUUUUGACAGUCUCACUCUGUUGUUCAGGCUGGAGUACAGUGGCACAAUCUCAGCUCACUGCAACCUCUGCGUCCCAGGUUCAAGCAAUUCUCCUGCCUCAGCCUCCUGAGUAGCUGGGAUUACAGGCUCUCGCCACUACAUCCAGCUGAUUUUUGUAUUUUUAGUAGAGGUGGGGGUUUCCCCAAGUUGGCCAGGCUGGUCUCGAACUCCUGACCUCAGGUAAUCCGCCCACCUCAGCCUCCCAAAGUGCUUGGAUUACAAGCGUGGACCACCACACCUGGCUCAUUGAUUCAUUUAUUCAUCUGAUAGGUAUUUAUUGAACAUAAAGUGCCACAGACCGGGUGGCUUAAAUGACAGAGAUUUAUUUUCUAACAGUUCUGGAAGCCGGAAGUCUGAGAUCAAGGUGCCGGCAGGACUGCUUCCUCCAAGCCCUCUCUUUUUGGCUUGUAAGAGCUGUCUUCUCUCUGUGUCCUCACAAGGUCGCCCUCCGUGCGUGUCUGUGUCCUCAUCUCCUCUUAUUACGGAGACACCAGUCCUACUGGAUUAGCUCCCAUGCUGGUGACCUCAUUCUACCUUAAUUACCUCCAUAAAUGCCCUAUCUCCAAACACAGUCACAUUAUGACAUCCUGGGGGUUGGACUUCGACGUGUGAGUUUGGGGGGAUGCAACCCAGCCCACAAUAAACAGCAAAUACGAUUAGAGCUUCUCACAGAUACAAAGCCAUUGUCGUGCAGCUCAUGCCCUCCUCGGGGGAAGAAGCCAGUAAGUCACAGAGAUCAGUAACGCAGGUGGGGACGAAGGUGUAGAGGAGAGCCAGGCACGGAGGCCUGUUGGAGUGCGGGUGCUUUGCAAUUUUAGAAGCCGAGGUCUAGGGGAGGCCGGACUUGAAAGACGACGUCUGGGCCAAGUGCAGAGAAAGGUGGCGGAUGAGCUGGAAGGAAGCCUGGGAGAAGGCACUUUGGGCGUAGGGUUUUGAGACACAGCUGUGUUUUGCCCGUGGCACGGGAGCUCUGGGGCCGGCAUGGCCCGUGUGGCCUAGGUGGAGGUGGGAGGGGAGGCGGGAGAAGGGGUGCCCUCGAGAUCUCGGGAGGCACUGGCCACGGAGAGCCCUCGGGCUGUUACUUCUACUAUUGCCUUUUACCAGUUAAAAGCAUCCUCCCAUGCAAAGGCUUGAGAAGGAUACAGUGGACUCUGGGGACUCGGUGGGGAAGGGUGGGAAGAGGGUGAGGGAUAAAUGACUACGAAUUAGGUGCAGUGGAUACUGCUCGGGUGAUGGGUGCGCCAAAAUCUCACAAAUCACCACCAAAGAACUUACGUAAUCAAACCCCACCUGUUCCCCAAAAACCAAUGGAAAUGAAUUUUAAAAACAAAAACAAAAAGCAUCUCCUCAACAUUGUGUUCGAAGAGAGGCAGCUGCCAGGACCUCGCUGUUCCUCACCCUCGGAAGCCGUGCCUCUUCUCUGGGCCCUUGGUCUGGCAUCCCCGGCCAGUGCAGCCCCUUCAACCGUGGGGUAGGUGGCGGGCGGAGGGGCCAGCCUGGCUGCCUGGCAUCCCCAUGGUUCCUGUAAUAAAUAACAAGCCUAACUGA